rnacentral:rRNA from 1 species
GACGUAGGUGGCGAACGUUAUCCGGAAUUAUUGGGCGUAAAGGAUGCGUAGAUGGUGUAGUAAGUUAUCGGUGGCAAGUCGAGGCUCAACCUCGUGGAAGUCGGUAAUACUGCUAUGCUAGAGGAUAGGAGAGGUUAACGGAACUCCCUGUGGAGCGGUGAAAUGCGUAGAUAUAGGGAAGAACACCAAUCAGGCGAAGGCAGUUAACUAUUCUAUUCCUGACAUUGAGGCAUGAAAGCGUGGGGAGCAAAACGG